rnacentral:rRNA from 1 species
UAGAGGAGCCUGUUCUAGAACCGAUAACCCCCGUUCAACCUCACCACUUCUAGCCAACCCAGCCUAUAUACCGCCGUCGUCAGCUUACCCUGUGAAGGUAAUAAAAGUAAGCAAAAUGGGUACAACCCAAAACGUCAGGUCGAGGUGUAGCGCAUGGAGUGGGAAGAAAUGGGCUACAUUUUCUAACAUAGAAUAUUACGAACAUGCACCAUGAAACAGUGCUUGAAGGAGGAUUUAGUAGUAAAAGGGAAAUAGAGUGUCCCUUUGAACCCGGCUCUGAGACGCGUACACACCGCCCGUCACUCUCCCCUGUCAAAAUGCACCAAAAAUAUCUAAUAUAAUAGCACUGACAAGGGGAGGCAAGUCGUAACACGGUAAGUGUACCGGAAGGUGCACUUGGAUCAAAC